UACAGAGGUCUCAAGCGUUGUUCGGAUUCAUUGGGCGUAAAGGGUGCGUAGGCGGCGCGGUAAGUCGGGUGUGAAAUCUCGGAGCUUAACUCCGAAACUGCAUUCGAUACUGCCGUGCUUGAGGACUGGAGAGGAGACUGGAAUUUACGGUGUAGCGGUGAAAUGCGUAGAUAUCGUGAAGAAGACCAGUGGCGAAGGCGGGAUCUCUGGACAAUCCUGACGCUGAGGCGACGAAGGUCAG
rnacentral:rRNA from 1 species